GAUGAACGCUGGCGGCGUGCCUAACACAUGCAAGUCGAACGGUUAAACCGGCUUCGGCCGGAAAUAAAGUGGCGAACGGGUGAGUAACGCGUGACCGACCUUCCCCCCGCACCGGGACAACCGCGGGAAACCGCGGCUGAUACCGGGUACUCCGGGGCCCCCGCAUGGGGGCCCCGGGAAAGCUCCGGCGGCGGGGGAUGGGGUCGCGUCCCAUCAGGUAGUAGGCGGGGCAACGGCCCACCUAGCCGACGACGGGUAGCCGGGUUGAGAGACCGACCGGCCACAUUGGGACUGAGAUACGGCCCAGACUCCUACGGGAGGCAGCAGUGGGGAAUUUUGCGCAAUGGGGGCAACCCUGACGCAGCAACGCCGCGUGCGGGACGACGGCCUUCGGGUUGUAAACCGCU
rnacentral:rRNA from 1 species